GAUGAACGCUAGCGAUAGGCUUAACACAUGCAAGUCGAGGGGCAGCACAGAUUAGCUUGCUAAUUAGGUGGCGACCGGCGCACGGGUGCGUAACGCGUAUGCAACUUGCCUUACAGAGGGGGAUAACCCGUUGAAAGACGGACUAAUACCGCGUACACUUGAGAGGGGGCAUCCUUUUUCAAGGAAAUGAAAUUCGCUGUAAGAUAGGCAUGCGUCCCAUUAGCUAGUUGGUGAGGUAACGGCUCACCAAGGCGACGAUGGGUAGGGGAACUGAGAGGUUGAACCCCCACACUGGUACUGAGACACGGACCAGACUCCUACGGGAGGCAGCAGUGAGGAAUAUUGGUCAAUGGGCGAGAGCCUGAACCAGCCAAGUCGCGUGAAGGAAGACUGUCUUAUGGAUUGUAAACUUCUUUUAUAGGGGAAUAAUAUUCGGUACGUGUACCGGUUUGAAUGUACCCUAUGAAUAAGCAUCGGCUAACUCCGUGCCAGCAGCCGCCGUAACAC
rnacentral:rRNA from 1 species